GACCUCUGAGCUCCAGAUUGGGACAGAGGGAAUCAGCAUAAUUUUUUGUGGUGCAUUUACUUGAUUGGUGCUUGGGGAUGUUUGAGGCAGAUUUGUUUCCGUCGUUUUGAGGCCAGCUUGCUGGUACCCAAACGGUGUUAGCAUUUUUUGUCUUGGGCAUUUGAGUAUGGCUCACGUGUAUUUAUUGGACAGAUCUGAGUGUAAGUUACGGUCGCAUGCGACACGUGCUUUUCAAUUAGUUCGGUCCAGUUAAUGCUCUCGUACUCGUUCCCCAUGUAAAAGCCGGUCAUCUAUCCGACCCGUCUUGAAACACGGACCAAGGAGUUUAUCGUGUGCGCAAGUUUUUGGGUGUUAAAAACUUAAAAGCGAAAUGAAAGUAAAUGACUCUUUAGAGUCUGAUGUGCGAUCUUGUAAAAAAGUGUAGCAUGGCCCCAUUCUAACUGUUUACAGUAGGGUGGCGGAAGAGCGUACGCGGUGAGACCCGAAAGAUGGUGAACU
rnacentral:rRNA from 1 species